rnacentral:rRNA from 1 species
UACGUAGGGUGCAAGCGUUAAUCGGAAUUACUGGGCGUAAAGCGUGCGCAGGCGGUUGUGCAAGACCGAUGUGAAAUCCCCGGGCUUAACCUGGGAAUGGCAUUGGUGACUGCACGGCUAGAGUGUGUCAGAGGGGGGUAGAAUUCCACGUGUAGCAGUGAAAUGCGUAGAGAUGUGGAGGAACACCGAUGGCGAAGGCAGCCCCCUGGGAUAACACUGACGCUCAUGCACGAAAGCGUGGGGAGCAAACAGG